CUGAGAAGAGGAAUUCGAUGGAUGCAUUCAACGUGGACAACGAAAUCAUUAUUUCGUUUGCAUCAUCCUAAGAACCAGUGCAAGUUGAAAUGGGCUUCGAGCCAACAACUUCAACAGCAAUUUGCCAUGAAAAUCAGCAAGAAAGGUACUUCAUUUACAUUGAUGAUGUCAUAUCCUCUGGACCCCACAACUUUACAGGUUACAGAGAAAAUUCAAGAACUUCUGCAAAAUGUGGGAUUUGGAGAGAAUCAAUAAUGUAUUUGUGAUCCCAGAGCAAUGGAUAUAUUGUGCAAUAUUAAAGUGUGAAUUUAAUGGAAUACAAGUACAUGUACUCAUGUAUUAUAUGCCUUUU